AACCGAGAACUCCUACGGGAGGCAGCAGUGGGGAAUUUUGGACAACGGGCGCAAGCCUGAUCCAGCCAUGCCGCGUGUGGGAAGAAGGCCUUCGGGUUGUAAACCACUUUUGUCAGGGAAGAAACGGCUCUUACUAAUAUUAGGGGCUAAUGACGGUACCUGAAGAAUAAGCACCGGCUAACUACGUGCCAGCAGCCGCGGUAAUACGUAGGGUGCAAGCGUUAAUCGGAAUUACUGGGCGUAAAGCGUGCGCAGGCGGCUUUGCAAGACAGAUGUGAAAUCCCCGGGCUCAACCUGGGAACUGCAUUUGUGACUGCAUGGCUAGAGUACGGUAGAGGGGGAUGGAAUUCCGCGUGUAGCAGUGAAAUGCGUAGAUAUGCGGAGGAACACCGAUGGCGAAGGCAAUCCCCUGGACCUGUACUGACGCUCAUGCACGAAAGCGUGGGGAGCAAACAGGAUUAGAUACCCUAGUAGUCCGACUGAGA
rnacentral:rRNA from 1 species